rnacentral:rRNA from 1 species
GAUGAACGCUAGCUAUAGGCUUUACACAUGCAAGUCGAACGGUAACAGGUUAAGCUGACGAGUGGCGAACGGGUGAGUAAUGCAUCGGAACGUGCCCAGUCGUGGGGGAUAACGCAGCGAAAGCUGCGCUAAUACCGCAUACGAUCUGAGGAUGAAAGCGGGGGACCGUAAGGCCUCGCGCGAUCGGAGCGGCCGAUGUCAGAUUAGGUAGUUGGUGGGGUAAAGGCUCACCAAGCCGACGAUCUGUAGCUGGUCUGAGAGGACGACCAGCCACACUGGGACUGAGACACGGCCCAGACUCCUACGGGAGGCAGCAGUGGGGAAUUUUGGACAAUGGGCGCAAGCCUGAUCCAGCAAUGCCGCGUGCAGGAAGAAGGCCUUCGGGUUGUAAACUGCUUUUGUACGGAGCGAAAAGGCUCUCUCUAAUACAGGGGGCUCAUGACGGUACCGUAAGAAUAAGCACCGGCUAACUACGUGCCAGCCGCCGCAGUAAUAC